UUUAUUUUUUUUGUUUUAAAGAUUCAGACGACAGAAAGACAAGAGUCAAAAAGCCUUCGGCGGGAGCACGCCCGCGUUAGCCGACGGCCGCUCGAGAGCAGACGUCCCGCCGAAGCAACAGGUCAAUACACAAAGGGUGGAGGGUCUCCAGCGAGCUGGAGAAAAAACCUCGCUAAUGAUCCUUCCGCAGGUUCACCUAUUUGCAGUCAGUAUUAGAAUCAAAACCAGAAAAACAAGAUGUGCCAUGGUGUUUACGUACCUACGGAAA
rnacentral:misc_RNA from 1 species